rnacentral:misc_RNA from 1 species
UUUCCGUAGGUGAACCUGCGGAAGGAUCAUUCAUAAUAAAGUGUUUUAUGGCACUUUUUAAAAAUCCAUCUCCACCUUGUGUGCAAUGUUAGAUCUCGUCAAUCUUGGCGAGAUUUUUAUACAUCAACUCAUUCUUUAACUAAUUUGUCUGAAAAAUAUUAUGAAUACUUAAUUCAAAAUACAACUCUCAACAACGGAUCUCUUGGCUCUC